UGUGUGUGUGUGUGUGUGUGUGUGUGUGUGUGUGUGUGUGUGUUUAUCCAGUAUGCUUGUGUAUUUUCAAAAUUUGUGUUUCCUUUUCCACAUAGCUUCCGCGUUUCUCUCUCUCUCUCUCUCUCUCUCUCUCUCUCUCUCUCUCUCUCUCUCUCUCUCUCUCUCUCUCUCUCUCAUGUGCAUUCUCCUCCUUGAGACCCUUGUGGUGGUUGGUGGUUGGUCCUGACAGCGUGUAAUUGGAGGUCACUCUUUUUAGUCUUUUUCUUUUCUUUUUCUUCUUUUUCUCUCCUUUACUCGGGUCUCUUCACUGCAGGUUGUGUAAAGUUUCCUUAAUUUAUUUAUUUCCACGUGAUUAUUAUUAUUAUUAUUUCUUUUUUUUUUGUUGUUGUUGUUCAGGCUUUACGUGUGUGUGUGUACUCAAUAUCUACUUUUUUCUGCCUCGUUAUGUAUUUUAAUGUAAACAUUUCAACACCAUUAUUUAUCAUUUCCUUCUCAAGUGCCCCCUCGUAUUAAUAUCCCUCGCAGACUCCAUUCCAAACACGUGAAAAUCGAAUACCAUUUGUAAGCGCGCAGGAGGGUCUUUAAGUUCCUCUCGGUGGCGCAAACACACCGUGGAAUAAGUUUGUUAUGGUGAAGGCGGCGGUGGCUGGCAAGCCGUUUUUCACCAACUUCCUGCACGGCGGCAUUUGGGAGGUAAAGGCUUAUAAUACUUCAUCUUUAUCACUGCUGGGGGAGAGGAACACGCAGGAACAAUGUGCAUUGCCACCAAAGGGUUCACAAAUCCCUUCCUGACACCUCUUACAGAUUCCAUGCAUUUCUUCCUGUGGUGUCGAGCGGGCGAGCGGCGCGGCUUGCGUCAGGCAGCGAGGCGCGAGAUAGAGAGAGAGAGACGAAGGGGAGGGAAGGCCCACAGCCAAAACGUGUGAAUGGAUUUACUUGAUCCCCUUCCUUUGAGUGAACUGCCGCCCUUCGUAUGGAAACUUUUACUUGUUAAGUUAAUCCACCAAAGAUUAGAAGAUGUGGAAGGUUGAGUGGAAAAAGACCUGCCCUGGGCCCAUCAUUUUUGUGGUAACACGGAGAGCAAGUGGAAGAAACCUUGGGAGACUUCCAUGACUCAGGAACAAUCACACCUCACUGGGAGCCUUGUGACUGAUAGGUGGUUCAGGUGAUGUCACAGAGAGCAAGUAGAAGAAAACCUGGGAGACUUGCUUAACUCAAGAGCAAGAGCCGCACCUCACCAGGGCUCUGCAAUGUGUGGCAGCGACUGCAGGAAUCAACACUUCGGUUUGUCAGCACACAGUUUCAGCAACCUUGUUCAUCAGACUGUUGGUGAAAGACUCCACAGACUGACUGGGAGACAUGACGUCAGUGCCACCACGCAGGGAGUAAAACCAAGAGGAGGAAGAGGAGCAUUCAUGAGACAUCAGCUGGUCAGCAGUCCAUUCAGUUUGUGGCCCUGAUUUGUAAGUGCCAGGAAGACCAUGGUGAAGGCAGCCCACAAACCUUCCGUUGGACAUGAGUGGUGAACGGCAGUGAAAAUAUGGCAGUAUCUGAUUCUUUGCACCAAAACACAGUGUGCUUAUUAACAGAUUUAUUCACUGUUCACUCAUUUGCUCAUCUCUAAAGGAGUGAAGAGUGUGCACUGAAUUUCACAACAGGAAGUGAAGGAUGAAGCAUGAAGGUUUUAGGCCAAAAUGAACAGACAGCAAUCAGGAAUGACACGUCCAGCAAAACCGGCAACACAGCAACACACACACACACCCAGGCUUCCAAGUUGAUAAUCCAAAAGCCAGCAGAUGACAGCUUCCUUCCAGCACACACUUGUAUCGCCCAACUUGACCUGCCUGAAUACAAGCUGAUACAGUCCAUGCAGCAGGGAGUGCAGCCUCUACAAGUGGUGGAGGGCAUGGACACUUGGAUAUGGAUGACACUGGUUUGGGUGCCAAAUAUUAAUAGUGCACCUACACAAUUACCACACUCGCUCCUCUCACCAGGCUUAACUAUAAAUAAUUAAAGGUAAAUAACAUCUGUCAUCUAUUAUCUAUUGUAUUCUAUAUUGCUGUUAAUGUUUCAUGUAUAAUGUCUUUGCUUUCAAAUGCAAGUCAAAAGGGUGAACCCCAUUUAUAGUACUAUUCACGUUUGGCAAAUUUCACUUUUGACAUUGGUUUGGCUACACUAAUUAAACUGCUAACAGUGAGGGACUACUGUAAAUGUAGUAAUAAUAAUAAUAAUAAUAAUAAUAAUAAUAAUAAUAAUAAUAAUAAUAAAAAGUAAUGAUAAAG